ACAAAUCUUGUGGACGAAAAACAAAUCAACGAAGGGACCACAUUUGACAUCACCAUAGAGAGGGGAGAGGGGUCUCUACUCUCUAGUAUCCCUCAUUCGGUCGCUAUGGCGGCUUCCUCUCUCCAUUCUUCUCUCAUUUGCUCUCCCUUUUCCUAUUCUUCUUCUGGCUCGUUCUUUUCAUUCUUUGUUUUCUUAUUGCUUUAAUCAAGGAAUGAGGUUUAAUCCCUAGCUUGGGCAUGGAAUGGCCACUAGUGGUAUCACUUUACAUCCAAAUGGGCCAAUCUGGUGGGAGGGGGGAUAAGUUGGGUGUCAAAUAAGAAGUCCCAACUACUUCUUGGUUAUACAAAAAAAAUCUAUUAUGAAAAAAUAUUUUAAUUAUUUUGAAUAAGCUUUAUGUUACAAAUUAUGUUGAUUAGAUACCUUUUAAUGGGCUUUUCACUAACUAAAUCUCAAGUAUGCUGAUCUAAACCAUGUGGCAUGAAGAAUUGUGGUUGCAGAGAUAAAAUAAAACGAUGUAUUGUAGGUGAUGAGGUUGAUGGUGUUCCUGGUAUCCAACAUCUGGUCCCUAGUUUUGGUCGGAAGACUGCUCUAAAACUUAUUAAAAAGCAUGGUUCAUUGGAAACUUUAUUAAAUGCAGCUGCAAUAAGGACUGUAGGCAGACCAUAUGCGCACGAUGCCCUUAAAAACCAUGCUACCUACGGAGAAAUUAUAAAGUGCUUGCCUUGAAAAGGGAUGUAAAUGUCCAACUUAUUGAGGGGUGGUUGGUUAAGAGAGACAAUUUCAAUGAUAAAAUUGCACUAUCUGCCUUCUUCAAAUAUUUGGAAGAAAGUAAGGAGCUUCCAAUCGAUGUGUAGAGUUUCAAGCUAAAUCACAAUCUAUAUGUAUAUUAGAAAUUAAAUUUUUAUUAUUAAGAUUUAGGUGACUUAAAUGUAAAGUGGAAGAUUACAUUUUACUAGAUAAACCUUAGUUGAAUGGAUGCAUUAAAAGUUGUUUUUGUUUCAACUUCCAAGAGAACUUAUUUAUUAUAGUUGGUGACAAUCUUCAUCAUAAAAAAAAAAUUAAUGAAGAAACACAAUACAUGAAGAGAAAAUGUGUGAAAAAAGAGAUUGUGAAACAAAGUCUCUUUGUUGAGAGAAAAAUGUCUUUGUGUGAGAGUGUUAUCAUUUCUUGUAAUCAUUGAGUGAAAUACUCAAGUUUGUAGAGUGAUACACUAUUUGAGGUGAAUUAUAAUUUUGUAAUCAUUUUUGUGAUAGUGAAAUACUUUUUGAGACCA